GUAAAUAUUAUAAAAUAAAUAAUUUUUUAUAUAUUUAUUUUAUUCUAAUCUCCUCUGGUUUUAUUCAUGACAAUUUUGAAUUUGURUUGACAACUGUGAUAAUUAUAAAUAAAGUUGACCGCCACAAAUUGAAUUAAGAACAGUUUUUUUUUUUUUUAUUUGUGUAUUWAUAUUAUUUACAACAAUUUACAAUUAUUAUUUUUUCAAAUGKCAGAUAAAKUAUGUUURAUGAAAUGAUUUAAAUUCAUAAAAUCAUUUUUUGUGYGUGAAACGUACAGGCAUCUUYUGAAUAGCACUGAGUUCGAAUUACACGAAGUCGCGUAAAUUACUAUUAAAAAUUAAGUUGAUCACACAAUACAUAUAUACAUAUACAUAUCGUUGGCUUACAAGGAAAACCGAUUGUCUGUAGUAUAACGUUAUCUCCAAAAUUGUAUAUAUUAUUAGUAUCGAAUAAUACAAUUUCGAAUUAUACAGAACCAAUAAGUCGUGUUAUUUGAGGGAUGCCUGUAUUUGAUUUUUAUUCUUCUAUAAUAUAGAUUUAAAACUCGCAUAAAAUAUUUUAAUAUACUUUUUUUCAGAAAGAAUUAAGAAUGCUACAAAAAACGUACAAUGACUUAGAAGACUAUUAUUUUCUUCUGAGGCUAGUAAGAAAUGAUAUAGAAAAAAUGAUAAGCAACUUCUCAUAUGCACCUGAUUUUUUCCCUAUAGAAAAGGACGCUAAAGCUGGAGUUAAUAAA